UGGUGGGUAGUUUGACUGGGGCGGUCUCCUCCUAAAGAGUAACGGAGGAGCACGAAGGUUGGCUAAUCCUGGUCGGACAUCAGGAGGUUAGUGCAAUGGCAUAAGCCAGCUUGACUGCGAGCGUGACGGCGCGAGCAGGUGCGAAAGCAGGUCAUAGUGAUCCGGUGGUUCUGAAUGGAAGGGCCAUCGCUCAACGGAUAAAAGGUACUCCGGGGAUAACAGGCUGAUACCGCCCAAGAGUUCAUAUCGACGGCGGUGUUUGGCACCUCGAUGUCGGCUCAUCACAUCCUGGGGCUGAAGUAGGUCCCAAGGGUAUGGCUGUUCGCCAUUUAAAGUGGUACGCGAGCUGGGUUUAGAACGUCGUGAGACAGUUCGGUCCCUAUCUGCCGUGGGCGCUGGAGAACUGAGGGGGGCUGCUCCUAGUACGAGAGGACCGGAGUGGACGCAUCACUGGUGUUCGGGUUGUCAUGCCAAUGGCACUGCCCGGUAGCUAAAUGCGGAAGAGAUAAGUGCUGAAAGCAUCUAAGCACGAAACUUGCCCCGAGAUGAGUUCUCCCUGAGACUUAGAGUCUCCUGAAGGAACGUUGAAGACGACGACGUUGAUAGGCCGGGUGUGUAAGCGCAGCGAUGCGUUGAGCUAAC
rnacentral:rRNA from 1 species